rnacentral:rRNA from 1 species
UACAGAGGGGGCAAGCGUUGUUCGGAAUUACUGGGCGUACAGGGCGCGUAGGCGGCCCGCUAAGUCGAACGUGAAAUCCCCGAGCUCAACUCGGGAACUGCGUCCGAUACGGGCGGGCUUGAAUCCGGGAGAGGGAUGCGGAAUUCCAGGUGUAGCGGUGAAAUGCGUAGAUAUCGCUUGGAACGCCAAAGGUGAAAACAGGUUGCUGGGGUUGUGCCGACGCUGAGACACGAAAGCCAGGGGAGCAAACGGG